GCCCUUAGAGUUUGAUCCUGGCUCAGGAUGAACGCUAGCUACAGGCUUAACACAUGCAAGUCGAGGGGCAGCAUGGUCUUAGCUUGCUAAGGCCGAUGGCGACCGGCGCACGGGUGAGUAACGCGUAUCCAACCUGCCUUACACUCUUGGACAGCCUUCUGAAAGGGAGAUUAAUACAAGAUGUUAUCAUGAGUAAGCAUUUUCGCAUGAUUAAAGGUUUACCGGUGUAAGAUGGGGAUGCGUUCCAUUAGAUAGUAGGCGGGGUAACGGCCCACCUAGUCUUCGAUGGAUAGGGGUUCUGAGAGGAAGGUCCCCCACAUUGGAACUGAGACACGGUCCAAACUCCUACGGGAGGCAGCAGUGAGGAAUAUUGGUCAAUGGACGAGAGUCUGAACCAGCCAAGUAGCGUGAAGGAUGAAGGUUCUAUGGAUUGUAAACUUCUUUUAUACGGGAAUAAACGAAUCCACGUGUGGAUUUAGCAUGUACCGUAUGAAUAGGA
rnacentral:rRNA from 1 species